CUACGGGCGGCUGCAGUGGGGAAUAUUGCACAAUGGGCGCAAGCCUGAUGCAGCCAUGCCGCGUGUAUGAAGAAGGCCUUCGGGUUGUAAAGUACUUUCAGCGGGGAGGAAGGGAGUAAAGUUAAUACCUUUGCUCAUUGACGUUACCCGCAGAAGAAGCACCGGCUAAGUCCGUGCCAGCAGCCGCGGUAAUACGGAGGGUGCAAGCGUUAAUCGGAAUUACUGGGCGUAAAGCGCACGCAGGCGGUGUGUUAAGUCAGAUGUGAAAUCCCCGGGCUCAACCUGGGCACUGCAUCUGGUACUGGCAAGCUUGAGUCUCGUAGAGGGGGGUAGAAUUCCAGGUGUAGCGGUGAAAUGCGUAGAGAUCUGGAGGAAUACCGGUGGCGAAGGCGGCCCCCUGGACGAAGACUGACGCUCAGGUGCGAAAGCGUGGGGAGCAAACAGGAUUAGAUACCCCUGUAGUC
rnacentral:rRNA from 1 species